CAAUAAGUAGUUUAUAAAAAUAAUAAUUUUGGAAAUUAUUGAUAAAGAUAAUUAUAGGUCUUUUUUAUUGA
rnacentral:tRNA from 1 species